rnacentral:rRNA from 1 species
UACGUAGGGUGCAAGCGUUAAUCGGAAUUACUGGGCGUAAAGCGUGCGCAGGCGGUUGUGCAAGUCUGAUGUGAAAGCCCCGGGCUCAACCUGGGAACGGCAUUGGAGACUGCACGGCUAGAGUACGUCAGAGGGGGGUAGAAUUCCACGUGUAGCAGUGAAAUGCGUAGAGAUGUGGAGGAAUACCGAUGGCGAAGGCAGCCCCCUGGGAUGAUACUGACGCUCAUGCACGAAAGCGUGGGGAGCAAACAGGAUUAGAUACCCUGGCAGUCCACGCCCUAAACGAUGUCAAUUAGCUGUUGGGGGUUUGAAUCCUUGGUAGCGUAGCUAACGCGUGAAAUUGACCGCCUGGGGAGUACGGCCGCAAGGUUAAAACUCAAAG